rnacentral:rRNA from 1 species
UACGUAGGGGGCAAGCGUUGUCCGGAAUCAUUGGGCGUAAAGCGCGUGUAGGCGGCUUGGUAAGUCCGCUCUGAAAGCCCGGGGCUCAACCCCGGGAGGCGGGUGGAUACUGUCAAGCUCGAGUCCGGAAGAGGCGAGUGGAAUUCCUGGUGUAGCGGUGAAAUGCGCAGAUAUCAGGAGGAUCACCAAUGGCGAAGGCAGCUCGCUGGGACGUGACUGACGCUGAGACGCGAAAGCGUGGGGAGCAAACAGG